GACGAACGCUGGCGGCGUGCCUAAUACAUGCAAGUCGAACGAAGCUGUUUUAACUGGUGCUUGCGCCGACAUAAACAACUGAGUGGCGAACGGGUGAGUAACACGUGGGUAACCUGCCCCAAAGCGGGGGAUAACAUUUGGAAACAGAUGCUAAUACCGCAUAACCACAGAAACCACAUGGUUUCUGUGUCAAAGAUGGUUUCGGCUAUCACUUUGGGAUGGACCCGCGGCGUAUUAGCUAGUUGGUAAGGUAAUGGCUUACCAAGGCAAUGAUACGUAGCCGAACCGAGAGGUUGAUCGGCCACAUUGGGACUGAGACACGGCCCAAACUCCUACGGGAGGCAGCAGUAGGGAAUCUUCCACAAUGGACGAAAGUCUGAUGGAGCAACGCCGCGUGAGUGAAGAAGGUUUUCGGAUCGUAAAACUCUGUUGUCAGAGAAGAACGUGUGCGAGAGUAACUGCUCGUGCAGUGACGGUAUCUGGCCAGAAAGCCACGGCUAACUACGUGCCAGCCGCCGCGGUAA
rnacentral:rRNA from 1 species